AUUGAACGCUGGCGGCAGGCUUAACACAUGCAAGUCGAGCGGAGAUGAGGUGCUUGCACCUUAUCUUAGCGGCGGACGGGUGAGUAAUGCUUAGGAAUCUGCCUAGUAGUGGGGGACAACAUUCCGAAAGGAAUGCUAAUACCGCAUACGUCCUAGGGGCGAAAGCAGGGGAUCUUCGGACCUUGCGCUAAUAGAUGAGCCUAAAUCGGAUUAGCUAGUUGGUGGAGUAAAGGCCUACCAAGGCGACGAUCUGUAGCGGGUCUGAGAGGAUGAUCCGCCACACUGGGACUGAGACACGGCCCAGACUCCUACGGGAGGCAGCAGUGGGGAAUAUUGGACAAUGGGGGGAACCCUGAUCCAGCCAUGCCGCGUGUGUGAAGAAAGCCUUAUGGUUGUAAAGCACUUUAAGCGAGGAGGAGGCUACUGAGACUAAUACUCUUGGAUAGUGGACGUUACUCGCAGAAUAAGCACCGGCUAACUCUGUGCCAGCCGCCGCGGUAA
rnacentral:rRNA from 1 species